CCUAAAAACGCUUCUUCGUUGAAAGCAAACACGACUUAUUCAGAAACGCUUCUUCGGAGAAGUACUUUUCCUCACGCGCAUUGGCUCAAGCUUUCUCGGUUUCUCUUGUGCAACUCUCUCAAACUCAUGCUCUCUCCCUCUCAAUUCUUACACAACAACAAUUAUGACACAUAUUCUCUUGGUCUCGAAUUGGUGGGAUUUGGAUUUCAAAACUGAUUUGAAUUGUUAUGGAAUCCGGAUUUGAUUCGCGUCGGUGUUCAGAAUCUGUUUGCGCUCGAAAUUUCAACUCAGAGCAAUUUGAGUCAAAGUUAGCAAGCAUACGAUGUCAUAAAACUGAGAAUGGAGGAAUGCUUACCGGUUGAAGCGACGAGGAGAAGAAAAUGCAGCUUUCGAUCUUGCUCACAAGGUUGAUUUGCAUAUUAGCAUAGAAUUAUCGUUAUUACCAUUUCGUGCUAUUGCCGAUGAGAAGUAAUUAUCGUUAUUGGUGUGAAAUUAUGGACUAUUAUGUGAUCACUAGGAAGUUCCAUAAACCCAUUCUCAGAAGCACAUCCUCUAAACAAAAUCUACUAAUCCUAGGAAUGGGUGAUGUUCUUUCAUUUAUGGAAAAGGCACUGGAAGUUAUGCUUCAAGAAGAUGCUGAAGACUUGCAAAUGAAGAUAAUGAGUGCAAAGUUUGACUUUAAUGAUUUGCUAAAGCAAAGUCGUACUAUUGCACAAAUGGGUUCUGUGUCUCGAGUCCUAGGGAUGAUUCCUGGUA